GAAAGCAAAAGAUUACAAUCCCGUGCCGUCGAAAAAGAGCAGCGUCGUCUUCAUGUUCCAAUUAUUGACCGGGCUUAUGGUGAGCCAGCACCUUAUGUUGUCGUGGUGCAGGGCCCUCCCAAGGUGGGGAAGUCGCUCUUAAUAAAGUCCUUGG